UAUGGCCACAUCAAGUUGAAACACCUGUUCCUGUGCGAUCACUGAAGUUAAGCAACAUCAAGCCUGGUCAUUACCUAGAUUGGUGACUGCUUGGGAAUACCAGGUACUGUAA